rnacentral:rRNA from 1 species
ACUCCUACGGGAGGCAGCAGUGGGGAAUAUUGCACAAUGGAGGAAACUCUGAUGCAGCAACGCCGCGUGGAGGAUGACGCAUUUCGGUGUGUAAACUCCUUUUAUAUGGGAAGAUAAUGACGGUACCAUAUGAAUAAGCACCGGCUAACUCCGUGCCAGCAGCCGCGGUAAUACGGAGGGUGCAAGCGUUACUCGGAAUCACUGGGCGUAAAGCGCAUGCAGGCGGUCUAAUAAGUUGGAAGUGAAAGCCUAUGGCUCAACCAUAGAACUGCUUCCAAAACUGUUAGACUAGAGUCUGGGAGGGGAAGAUGGAAUUAGUAGUGUAGGGGUAAAAUCCGUAGAGAUUACUAGGAAUACCAAAAGCGAAGGCGAUCUUCUGGAACAGUACUGACGCUGAGAUGCGAAAGCGUGGGGAGCAAACAGGAUUAGAUACCCUGGUAGUCCACGCAGUAAACGAUGAAUGUUAGUCGUUGGUGUCCUAGAGACAUCAGUGAUGCAGUUAACACAUUAAACAUUCCGCCUGGGGAGUACGGUCGCAAGAUUAAAACUCAAAGGAAUAGACGGGGACCCGCACAAGUGGUGGAGCAUGUGGUUUAAUUCGAAGAUACGCGAAGAACCUUACCUAGCCUUGACAUAUUAUAGAAGACACCAGAGAUGGAGUUGUGCCUUCGGGAGCUAUAUUACAGGUGCUGCACGGCUGUCGUCAGCUCGUGUCGUGAGAUGUUGGGUUAAGUCCCGCAACGAGCGCAACCCUCGUCACUAGUUACUAACGAUUCGGUCGAGGACUCUAGUGAGACUGCCUUCGUAAGGAGGAGGAAGGUGAGGACGACGUCAAGUCAUCAUGGCCCUUACGGCUAGGGCAACACACGUGCUACAAUGGUUAGGACAAUGAGAGGCGAUACCGCGAGGUGGAGCAAUCUAUAAACCUAAUCUCAGUUCGGAUUGUAGUCUGCAACUCGACUACAU